UACGGAGGGCGCAAGCGUUGAUCGGAAUCACUGGGCGUAAAGCGCGUGCAGGCGGCUUGGUAAGUCGGGUGUGAAAUCCCGGAGCUCAACUCCGGAACUGCACCCGAUACUGCCUCGCUAGAGUCCCGGAGAGGAUGGCGGAAUUUCCGGUGUAGAGGUGAAAUUCGUAGAUAUCGGGAGGAACACCAGCGGCGAAGGCGGCCCUCUGGACGGUGACUGACGCUCAGACGCGAAAGCGCGGGGAGCAAACAGG
rnacentral:rRNA from 1 species